UUUGCGCGUCUUUUUCUAUGUUAGUUGUCCCGAACUAUACUAAUCUGCACUUUUCUAUUCGUAAUUUGUCAAUGCAGGUAGCAACCAAGAGUUCCCGGUGACAAGGGCGCGGAGUGGGAGAGCAAAAGACGCAGCCCAGCAUCCUUAACAGUACCUCACAUGCGCUGCAAUGUACCAUCGAUUUACCACGAGUUUCAAACCAGGCAACGUCGUCAGCGGCCGUUGAAUAAUCCCCUUUUCCGUAGACUGAUUAUCAUUGCGUUGUGUGCAG
rnacentral:misc_RNA from 1 species